GGGGUCGUAGUUAAGCUGGUUAUAACGCCGGCCUGUCACGUCGGAGGGCGAGGGUUCGAGUCCCUUCGGCCCCGCCA
rnacentral:tRNA from 2 species